CCUACGGGUGGCAGCAGUGGGGGAUAUUGCACAAUGGGGGGAACCCUGAUGCAGCGACGCCGCGUGGGUGAAGGAGUCCUUCGGCAUGUAAAGCUCUAUCGGCAGGGAAGAAGCAAGACGGUUCCUGACUAAGAAGCCCCGGCUAACUACGGGCCAGAAGCCGCGGUAAUACGGAGGGGGCGAGCGUUAUCCGGAUUAACUGGGUGUAAAGGGAGCGUAGACGGCCAAGCAAGCUAGGUGUGAAAGGCCGGGGCCCAACCCGGGAAUUGCACUUGGAAAUGGGUGGCUGGAGUUCGGGAGAGGCAGGCGGAAUUCCUGGUGUAGCGGUGAAAUGCGUAGAGAUCAGGAGGAACACCGGCGGCGAAGGCGGCCUGCUGGACCGCGACUGACGUUGAGGCGCGAAAGCGUGGGGAGCAAACAGGAUUAGAUACCCCAGUAGUC
rnacentral:rRNA from 1 species